rnacentral:lncRNA from 1 species
ACAGGUAUAUAUUGUUUUUUUUUUUCAAUUAAAACAUUGUCAUCUUAUUCACUAGAUUCCUUUUCUCUUUAUCAAUUUUUAUUUAUUUUUUAUUUUUUUUGUAUUCAUUCUAAAUAUAGAAUUGAAGACAAUUUGAUACAUCUUAUCCUACCUUAUAGUCAAUCAAAUAUGAGAUAAAGAUAUAUUAUCUUAAUUUUUAUC